GACGAACGCUGGCGGCGUGUUUAACACAUGCAAGUCGAGCGGUAAGGCCCUUUCGGGGGUACACGAGCGGCGAACGGGUGAGUAACACGUGGGUGACCUGCCCUCAGCUCUGGGAUAAGCCUGGGAAACUGGGUCUAAUACCGGAUAUGACUCCAUGACGCAUGUUGUGGGGUGGAAAGCCUUGUGCGGCUGAGGAUGGGCCCGCGGCCUAUCAGCUUGUUGGUGGGGUGAUGGCCUACCAAGGCGACGACGGGUAGCCGGCCUGAGAGGGCGACCGGCCACACUGGGACUGAGACACGGCCCAGACUCCUACGGGAGGCAGCAGUGGGGAAUCUUGCGCAAUGGGCGAAAGCCUGACGCAGCGACGCCGCGUGAGGGAUGACGGCCU
rnacentral:rRNA from 1 species